rnacentral:rRNA from 1 species
CAAUAGCGUAUAUUAAAGUUGUUGCAGUUAAAAAGCUCGUAGUCGGAUUUUGGCACCAUGCCGAACUGUCUGCCGAUUGGUUUGUACGGUUUGGCGGGUGCUUCCUUCCGGAAGCCCGCGUUUUUCUUCACUGAAGGGCGCGGUGAGUCCGGAUCAUUUACUUUGAAAAAAUUAGAGUGUUAAAGCAGGCUUAUGCCGUUGAAUACAUUAGCAUGGAAUAAUAAGAUAGGACUUUGGCGUCUAUUUUGUUGGUUUGCACACCAAGGUAAUGAUUAAUAGGGAUAGUGGGGGUAUUCGUAUUUAAUUGUCAGAGGUGAAAUUCUUGGAUUUAUGAAAGACGAACUACUGCGAAAGCAUUUGCCAAGGAUGUUUUCAUUGAUCAAGAACGAAAGUUAGGGGAUCGAAGACGAUCAGAUACCA